rnacentral:snRNA from 1 species
GGACAUGAGGGCGAUCUGGCUCUGACAUCUGUCACCCCAUUGAUCGCCAGGGUUGAUUCGGCUGAUCUGGGUGGCUAGGCAGGUGUCCCCUUCCUCCCUCAUGGCUCCAUGUGUGUCCCUCCCGAAGCUGUGCGCUCAGUCAAAGAGGACGACCAUCCCUGAUAGAGGAGGACCGUUCUUCGGUCAAGGUAGCUGCACUCCCCUGCUCGAACCUCCAAACAAGCUCUCAAAUAUAAUUAAGUAAUAUUGAAAUAUAAUUAAUAUAAAUAAGUACUAUUUACAUAGCAUUUAUCUAUAAGGAAAACAUA